GACGAACGCUGGCGGCGUGCUUAACACAUGCAAGUCGAACGGAAAGGCCCUGCUUUUGUGGGGUGCUCGAGUGGCGAACGGGUGAGUAACACGUGAGUAACCUGCCCUUGACUUUGGGAUAACUUCAGGAAACUGGGGCUAAUACCGGAUAGGAGCUCCUGCUGCAUGGUGGGGGUUGGAAAGUUUCGGCGGUUGGGGAUGGGCUCGCGGCUUAUCAGCUUGUUGGUGGGGUAGUGGCUUACCAAGGCUUUGACGGGUAGCCGGCCUGAGAGGGUGACCGGCCACAUUGGGACUGAGAUACGGCCCAGACUCCUACGGGAGGCAGCAGUGGGGAAUAUUGCACAAUGGGCGGAAGCCUGAUGCAGCAACGCCGCGUGCGGGAUGACGGCCUUCGGGUUGUAAACCGCUUUCGCCUGUGACGAAGCGUGAGUGACGGUAAUGGGUAAAGAAGCACCGGCUAACUACGUGCCAGCAGCCGCGGUGAUACGUAGGGUGCGAGCGUUGUCCGGAUUUAUUGGGCGUAAAGGGCUCGUAGGUGGUUGAUCGCGUCGGAAGUGUAAUCUUGGGGCUUAACCCUGAGCGUGCUUUCGAUACGGGUUGACUUGAGGAAGGUAGGGGAGAAUGGAAUUCCUGGUGGAGCGGUGGAAUGCGCAGAUAUCAGGAGGAACACCAGUGGCGAAGGCGGUUCUCUGGGCCUUUCCUGACGCUGAGGAGCGAAAGCGUGGGGAGCGAACAGGCUUAGAUACCCUGGUAGUCCACGCUGUAAACGGUGGGUACUAGGUGUGGGGUCCAUUCCACGGGUUCCGUGCCGUAGCUAACGCUUUAAGUACCCCGCCUGGGGAGUACGGCCGCAAGGCUAAAACUCAAAGGAAUUGACGGGGCCCCGCACAAGCGGCGGAGCAUGCGGAUUAAUUCGAUGCAACGCGUAGAACCUUACCUGGGUUUGACAUGGAUCGGGAGUGCUCAGAGAUGGGUGUGCCUCUUUUGGGGUCGGUUCACAGGUGGUGCAUGGCUGUCGUCAGCUCGUGUCGUGAGAUGUUGGGUUAAGUCCCGCAACGAGCGCAACCCUUGUUCACUGUUGCCAGCACGUUAUGGUGGGGACUCAGUGGAGACCGCCGGGGUCAACUCGGAGGAAGGUGGGGAUGACGUCAAGUCAUCAUGCCCCUUAUGUCCAGGGCUUCACGCAUGCUACAAUGGCUGGUACAGAGAGUGGCGAGCCUGUGAGGGUGAGCGAAUCUCGGAAAGCCGGUCUCAGUUCGGAUUGGGGUCUGCAACUCGACCUCAUGAAGUCGGAGUCGCUAAUAAUCGCAGAUCAGCAACGCUGCGGUGAAUACGUUCCCGGGGCU
rnacentral:rRNA from 1 species